AAAUUUAGAAAAAAAUAAAAAAUAUAAAUGUAAAUGGUUUCUUUGUCUCUCUCGCUUCCUCAUUGAACCCUAGCCGUAAUCGUCUUCCUCUUCCUCGAGCGCCUCCAUCAUUCCAGCCAUUUUCUACUCAGUACCCACUUCAUCUACUCCGUCCCUUUCAUGUACGACAACAAUCUCAUCACCAUCCCUUUCAUUUUCUGGAUUCGAUCCCUUUCCUGUUCUUGCCUCCAUCAUUGAGUGGAUGCCUCACAAUCACAAUAAACUCAUAUCUUCUCUCUGUCUUCACCGGAACUAAAAUCGAUAUCAUUCAAGCUUGAUUCGUCACUGUUCAAGGAUGGAGAAAAGACUUGUCCUCUAUGUGAAUGGAUUUGAGAGAUAAGAAAUUGAAAUCUUGUAGAUGUGGUUAUGAGUUUUGAUUCUAUAUGAGGUUAUAAAUAAAGGCUUCGAAUUACUGAAGGCAUCUGUACUUAGUUUAAAAAACCGAAGAUGAACAAGGCUCUCACUAUCAGAACCAAGAAUUUCAUGACAAACAAGCUCCUCAAGAAUUUUUUUUUGGGUUAUAUUGUAGUCUUGUAGCUUUCUAGUUGUCUUUUGUAAAACUUUUAUAUAUAGAAAUUAGCUUAUCAUUUUAUAGGGUAAAAAGAAUUAAUGUUUUAUUUAAUACUAGAGAUUCUAUUACAUUUAUAUUAUUAAUUAAUGUUUUAGAAUGAUAUAUUUGUACAUAAUAGAAAGUAAAUUACACUUCA